CAACCAUCAAGCCCCAGGCUUGUGUUGGAGCCCUGCGGCUGCCGCAGCCUCCUAAAAGCAGUGGCGGGCUCGCUAUCACACCGAGUGCAGUAGUUUACUCUUCGCUCAGGGCGUGUGGCGGGUUCCAGCCGUUAAACCCCCUACUUUUACAA
rnacentral:misc_RNA from 1 species